ensembl:snoRNA small nucleolar RNA SNORD35
UGGUAAUGAUGUCUAAACUCACGAUGGUCUUCAGAGCCCCGUUGGUGAAAGGGGACUGCUGAGAAUGCCAGUCUGGCCAUGCUGAACCAUAAAA